GAAGAUUUAUGUAAUGUAUUCGUUGUUGCAAAUAUUCCUUUGAAUAAGCUGGGGGAAAUAAUGUGUUAAAAUAAUUUUUGGAAAAACAUACUGGCAAAUCAAUUCUCUGGAUGAAAGCACUUUAAGAAAACAUUACAUACCAAAUAUUUAUAAGUGUUAUGGACCAAAUAACUAGUGCUAUUGGAAAUAAUUAUAUGUACAUAGUUGUUGA